AGGGGCGUAGCUCAACUGGCAGAGCGUCGGUCUCCAAAACCGAAGGUCGGGGGUUCGAGUCCCUCCGCCCCUG
rnacentral:tRNA from 4 species